rnacentral:lncRNA from 1 species
GAAGGGAUAAGAAUGAAAACUUCAUGUACAUGGAAACAAAUUAAAAAGGAGAUGAUACUGAAUCAAGCAAAAAUGGAAAUUCCUCAUUCACUAGUAAAAUCAAAUUAAAGAGCCAUAAUUCCAGUCCUUGAGUAAUUGGUGAGAGUCUUAAUUGGAAGCCAGAAUUCAUCUGCUUAUAAAUAGGAAUCAUUCUACUCACUAAAGAGGGGAGGAAAACAGAACGCAAAACAGAGCAAAAAUCACAAAAAAGCACAAUGCAGCAGCUCUGCUCCUUUCUCCUCCCACAAACUCCAUUUUCCUUCAAACCACUACCACCAUUAACAACCUUCUCAUAACCACCACAUUCAAACCAACUCCACCACAUAAAUCAUCACAACCUCCCACACCAACAUCACAACACCACCAUCACUUUCAACCUCAAUCAACCCAAACCCACUACACAACCACAAGCCAUCACAAACCAAAAGAAAAUAAACAAAAGAAAACAAACACAGCAAGAUCGAAGAAGAGAAGAGAGAAACUCUCGCCGUUGCCGUCGAGUCCGAACACCGUCGCUGUGGCAAAACAAAGCACCGCCAAAUC